rnacentral:rRNA from 1 species
AUACGGAGGGUGCAAGCGUUAUUCGGAAUCACUGGGCGUAAAGGACGCGUAGGCGGGUUGGCAAGUCAGAUGUGAAAUCCUACAGCUUAACUGUAGAACUGCAUUUGAAACUGCUAACCUAGAGUAUGGGAGGGGGAGAUGGAAUUAGUGGUGUAGGGGUAAAAUCCGUAGAUAUCACUAGGAAUACCGAAAACGAAGGCGAUCUCCUGGAACAUAACUGACGCUAAGGCGUGAAAGCGUGGGGAGCAAACAGGAUUAGAAACCCUAGUAGUCC